AAUGAACGUUGGCGGCGUGGAUUAGGCAUGCAAGUCGAGCGAGAACUUUUGAAAUUGACGCUUCGGUUGACGUUUCAAAAGGGACAGCGGCGAAAGGGAGAGUAACGCGUAGUUACCUGCCCCAGGGUCCGGGAUAGCCACGGGAAACUGUGGGUAAUACCGGAUGACAUCUCCGGAUCAAAGGUGAGAUUCCGCCCUGGGAGGGAACUGCGUCCUACUAGCUUGUUGGUGGGGUAACGGCCUACCAAGGCUUUGAUGGGUAGCGGGUGUGAGAGCAUGGCCCGUCUCACUGGGACUGAGACACUGCCCAGACACCUACGGGUGGCUGCAGUCGAGAAUCUUCGGCAAUGGGCGAAAGCCCGACCGAGCGACGCCGCGUGCGGGAUGAAGGCCUUCGGGUUGUAAACCGCUGUCAGUAGGGAGGAAUUCUUGGGGGUCAUCCCCCCAAGAUUGACCUAUCUUCAGAGGAAGACCGGGCUAAGU
rnacentral:rRNA from 1 species